rnacentral:rRNA from 1 species
UGCAAGUCGAGGGAGAAAGUCUUCUGUUCCGAUUCGUCGGGACAGAGGGCUGGAAACCGGCGCACGGGUGCGUAACACGUAGGCAACCUACCCUUUGGACGGGGAUAACCUCGGGAAACCGGGGCUAAUACCCGAUGAUGCAGCGGCACCGCAUGGUGAUGUUGUUAAAUCUCUUCGGGGGCCAAGGGAUGGGCCUGCGGCCCAUUAGCUAGUUGGUGGAGUAACGGCCCACCAAGGCAACGAUGGGUAGCUGGUCUGAGAGGAUGGCCAGCCACACUGGAACUGAGACACGGUCCAGACUCCUACGGGAGGCAGCAGUGAGGAAUAUUGCGCAAUGCCCGAAAGGGUGACGCAGCGACGCCGCGUGGAGGAUGAAGUCCGUAAGGAUGUAAACUCCUGUUGAGAGGGAAGAACAGUCCCGACUUGUCGGGAUUUGACGGUACCUCUUGAGGAAGGCCCGGCUAACUACGUGCCAGCAGCCGCGGUAAUACGUAGGGGCCAAGCGUUGUCCGGAUUUACUGGGUGUAAAGGGUCCGCAGGCGGGCUUGUAAGUCAAUGGUGAAAUCUUCCGGCUUAACCGGGAAACUGCUGUUGAAACUGCAAGCCUUGAGUCCAGGAGAGGGUGGUGGAAUUCAUGGUGUAGCGGUGAAAUGCGUAGAUAUCAUGAAGAACACCGGUGGCGAAGGCGGCCACCUGGCCUGGAACUGACGCUCAGGGACGAAAGCGUGGGUAGCAAACAGGAUUAGAUACCCUGGUAGUCCACGCCGUAAACGAUGGGUACUCGGUGUUGGGUCGUAUGACUCGGUGCCAAAGCUAACGCAUUAAGUACCCCGCCUGGGGAGUACGAUCGCAAGGUUGAAACUCAAAGGAAUUGACGGGGGCCCGCACAAGCAGUGGAGCAUG